CGUAACAAGGUUUCCGUAGGUGAACCUGCGGAAGGAUCAUUAUGAAUUGUUAAUAUUUGUGAAUUUCAUACAAACAACAAUAAUACUAUAGUCAAAACCAAAAUAAUUAAAACUUUUAACAAUGGAUCUCUUGGUUCUCGUAUCGAUGAAGAACGCAGCGAAACGCGAUAUUUCUUGUGAAUUGCAGAAGUGAAUCAUCAGUUUUUGAACGCACAUUGCACUUUGGGGUAUCCCCCAAAGUAUACUUGUUUGAGCGUUGUUUCUCUCUUGGAAUUGCAUUGCUUUUCUAAAAAAUCGAAUCAAAUUCGUUUGAAAAACAACACUAUUCAACCUCAGAUCAAGUAGGAUUACCCGCUGAACCUAAGCAUAUCA
rnacentral:misc_RNA from 1 species